UCCACCCGGUCCCUUCCCGAACCCGGUCGUUAAGCCCGCCAGCGCCCAUGGUACUGCCCCGGCAGCGGGGUGGGAGAGUAGGUCAUCGCCAAGA
rnacentral:rRNA from 1 species